rnacentral:rRNA from 1 species
UGGGGAAUAUUGGACAAUGGGCGAAAGCCUGAUCCAGCCAUGCCGCGUGUGUGAAGAAGUCUUCGGAUUGUAAAGCACUUUAAGUUGGGAGGAAGGGCAGUUACCUAAUACGUAUCUGUUUUGACGUUACCGACAGAAUAAGCACCGGCUAACUCUGUGC